CCUACGGGGGGCAGCAGUGGGGAAUAUUGGACAAUGGGGGGAACCCUGAUCCAGCCAUGCCGCGUGUGUGAAGAAGGCCCUCGGGUUGUAAAGCACUUUCAGUGAGGAAGAACGCCUGGUGGUUAAUACCCAUCAGGAAAGACAUCACUCACAGAAGAAGCACCGGCUAACUCCGUGCUAGCAGCCGCGGUAAUACGGAGGGUGCGAGCGUUAAUCGGAAUUACUGGGCGUAAAGCGCGCGUAGGUGGCUUGAUAAGCCGGUUGUGAAAGCCCCGGGCUCAACCUGGGAACGGCAUCCGGAACUGUCAAGCUAGAGUGCAGGAGAGGAAGGUAGAAUUCCCGGUGUAGCGGUGAAAUGCGUAGAGAUCGGGAGGAAUUCCAGUGGCGAAGGCGGCCUUCUGGACUGACAAUGACACUGAGGUGCGAAAGCGUGGGUAGCAAACAGGAUUAGAUACCCUAGUAGUC
rnacentral:rRNA from 1 species